UACGGAGGGGGCUAGCGUUGUUCGGAAUUACUGGGCGUAGAGCGCACGUAGGCGGCUCUGCAAGUCGGAUGUGAAAUCCCUCGGCUCAACCAAGGAAGUGCAUCCGAAACUGCGGAGCUUGAGUACUUAAGAGGAUCGCGGAAUUCCCGGUGUAGAGGUGAAAUUCGUAGAUAUCGGGAGGAACACCAGUGGCGAAGGCGGCGAUCUGGGAAGAUACUGACGCUGAGGUGCGAAAGCGUGGGGAGCAAACAGG
rnacentral:rRNA from 1 species